CUUGGCAUGGGUUUCCGUGUUGAGGAGCCAAAAUCUGGUGCUCUAAGCUACAUGCACACGAUCUUCGCCACGACCAGUUAUCGUCUACUUCUUGGUGAGGUAGAAGUUCCACUUGUACACGUAAAUCGGAGGCACGGUGGUGGAGUUCUCGGGCUGGGACAGUCCGUAGCCAGAGUAUCCUCGGAACUUUCCAGUGCCGCCGAUGACCACCAAUUCCCAGGGAGUUGGGCCGUAAGACAGGGUGCCCACCACUGUGAUGCUCGAGCCGGGGUACUUGGAUCCCUCGCCGAACCAGAACUUGCUAGUGACCUGCACGCCUCCCGUUGGCAAUCCUCCGAUGGUGGACAGAACUCCGAACCCUGUGAUUCUGCCCAGCAACUUGCUGUCGAGUGCAGCUCCUUGCUUCAAUCUGUUGUCGAACACAAGGAAACUUCCCCAUCCGAGGGCGCUGAAGUUGCCCUGCCCGGUUCCAGCAGCAGGCAAGAGGGUGGCAUUGGGUCCCCCGCGGGUCUCGUGAGCGUAGUACGUCAGUUUCAGCGUCUUGGACGCUGCAUUCAACACAGGUCGGUGGUAAGAGUUGCAAUCAGGGUUUUGUUUCGCAGUUCAAUAUCCAACACAACAUUUAGAUCCACACUUUCAAUCCGCUUAAGCAUGGAUGCGUACUGAUCAGGAACCUACCUGCAAACACCGAUGUCUGAAAGCUGCAGAUGCAAAGCACCACACACAAGGCGUAGACGGCUGCGGAGACUGCCAUCGCUGCUCAACUUGCUACCUGCACAGGGUCACUGAAUCAUUUCAGACAUGAACCCUGGAACAUCACAUUUUGGUUGUGGAAACGAUAGAAUGUCCUAACGAUCAAGCACCACAUUUCACCAAAGCUCAGAAGUCAAUUCCGGUAUGGAUAUCUCAUGCUGGUAGAGAAGAAACUGAAAGUUGCAUCAGUAGUGACGCCGCGAUUGAGCUAAUUCCACGUACAACUAACAACGAACUAAGAACCGUACCUUGCUAACCCUCUUUUGCCUCGAACCCAAGAGGUGAAAAGUCAGUAUGAUCUGCACUGUAUCGAUACGGAAACUGAAAGGUUGGGAUAAGUCGAUGGAAAUGAUCACAACCUGGGUCUUACUUAUACCCGACUAGAUCCGAUAAGUAAUUCACGAGCAAACCCUAUUGAUUGUUGACUACAUCGCAAUCUGACCCUGGGAGUCAGCAAUCCGAAUCCCUUGAUUGGAAGCGACUUUCCAGGUGCAACUAACUUUUGAAUAAGCGUUUGACUCUAGAGCGAUGGACUACAGUGUCCGCUGUUGUUGAAGGUGUCAAUAGCUGGAAGAAAGAUUUCUGGAUCGGCAACAACGAUCAGGUACACGAGUUGCCCGUGGCACCGGUGUACAGUGCGGGGCAACAGUGACGGCUCCAAUGUUAGAGAGGCUGAUUAAUUCCCCAGCAAUAGAAACCUAGACAAGUUUCCGCAGGAGGCACACGGUAUCUGUGUUAAAAAAAUCUAAGCAUCAGCUUCUCACGUCAACGCUACGGCAUUUUCCUCCUAAACUUUCUAGUCAACGUUGUCACAUUUUCAACGCACAGAGUUUUAAGGAAGGCUUUGCCCGGAAUUGGUGUGGACUCUCUCUCAUUUGGGUGCUUCUUGUAUUAGAUUUGUCUCAUGCGGGUGCUUGGGGUAGAUUCCCAGGCAAGAUUAGUGUUUUAUCAAAUUUUGGCAUGGUCAGUCCACCAUUGCUUUUUUUGCUCCUCACAAGCAGUAGCAUCAAGCUUUCGGUAUCUGGUCAUGUAGCCGUGUUGUUUCUGUAUCUGGCGGUAGUCUUGACAAUGAAACCAUUUCUGAUAGCCUCAACACUUGCCACAGUACUUUGUGUGUGGAGAAUAUGGUGAGGGUUUAGAGAAUGAUGUAUAUAUAUAUACGUUCUGGUGUCCUUUGGAUAAGUGUAAAAGUAACUUUCUGAAAUAGGGUAUAUAGAGAAAGGCUUGGAAGAGCAAAGCAGUAGGGAUAGCAAUAUUUGGAGACUACAAAAAUAUCUCCAUUCUUUUAUCCUACCUUGAAUACCUUGAAACUAUGGAUGUCCUUUUUGAUAAGAGUACCUUAGUUGGUGGCAACUCAUGUAGAAUGUUUAAAAGGUGGUUAUAAAUGUUCAACUUGAAUUCUUGCUUUUAGACUUCACAAGUUUUGGCAAGAGAUUAGAAGUUUCACCAAGAUUGAAAAAUGACUUCCACUUUCAUUCUUGAUUUGCAUCAUUUUUUUGUAUUCAACAUUGUUGAUAUUUUGGUUUGGUAGAGUUAUACAUUGUAUUGUAAUUCAUCUUUGUUGUUGUAUUCUUCUUUAUUUUGACAUAUUAAUAAAGGGUCUUUAUAAUUAAAAUAUUACAUAUAUUAUUUUUAUAUAUUAAUUUUUUAUUCUAAAAAAUUUUAACUAUUUCUUGAAUUUUAUAUUACAAAAAAUAAUUUUAUGCACAUAUAGAUACUAAAAAAGUCAAAAGAAUAUAUAGUUAUGGACUAAUGUUUCUGACAUAUAUUCUAACUAUCAUUAAAAGUCUUAUCAUUAUCAUUUAGAAACCUUUAUUUUUUAAUGAUUAUAUUUUAGAUAAUAAAGAAUCUCAUAUAUCUAAAGAUAUAAUAUUACAAAUGUAAAUUUUCAUGGUUGAUUUUGUACAUGAUAUUAUUUCUUAUUCAUUAAUGAAUAUGUGUUGAAGUUCUAUCUUAGAUUCUUUAUCAAUAAAAUAAGAUAUAAUAAUUUAAUUUUUUUAAUUAAAAAAAUAAACUAUUGAUCAUAUUUCUAUUUUUAAGAUUCACCAAUUGUAGCCUUCUAUCAAAUAUAUUUUAUUAAAAAAAUUGCAUAAGCUAAUUUUUUUUCUAUGUAUCAUUAAUAAUAAUAAUUACAAUAAGAUAAUUAAAGAUAGAAAGUUCUUUGCUAACACAAUAUUGGGUAUAAAUAUAAGUAUUUAUAUUAUUUAUCAAGUGAAAUUUUUGUGUUAAUGUAUAAUUAUUAAUUUAGAAAAGAUGAAUUGUAUGUGUCUUUUUAGUUGUUGCUACAAUAAAAAGACAAAGGUACUAAAAAUUAAAUAGAAAAUUUAAAAUAUUUAUUAUCUAGAUUUUAGAUAAAUUGGAUAAAACCAUGAUUAUAAUAAAAUUUAUUUUCAUAAAAAAUAAUAUUUGAUAAUAUUAAAAAUAGCAUUAAUUUAGAAGAAAGUCAAGACAAAAAGAACGUAUUAAAGUCUUAUAAUUUGGUUAAGUUAACACAUUAGUUUAUAUAUAUAUAUAUAUAUAUAUAGAUAUAUGUGUGUGUGUCUGUGUGUAUGUGUAUGUGUUAGAUUUCUUGUAUUUUUUUCACAAAAUAGACAUGUAUUGACAUAGUUUAUCUCAUUGAUUUUUAUACAAAAAUUAGAAUGGCUUUUGAUUUUUUUAGUAAGAAGAAAAUUAUAUUAGAAUUAAAAAUUUUAAUAUAUCAAUUUUUGAAUAAAUUUUUCAAUUAAAUAAUUAUAGUAAUACUAUACAUAUAUAUUUAAAAAAAUAGGUAUUUAUGUAAUAUUAUUAAUCUAAUUACCUAGUACAUAGUACAUGGUUUUUUCUUUAAUGACUUCUUAAAUAGCACAAUGUUUUUAAAAAAUGAUCAAAAUUUGAUAAAUAUUUUUAAAAGAUUUAUUUUAGAUAAUUCUAAAAUAAUUUUCUCUAUUAAAUAUUAAAAUAUAUUUCAAAGUAUUAUUGCAAGGCUUAGUGAAUAUAAUAUAAGAUGAAAAUUAUGUUAUAAUUAUAAAAAAUAAUAAAACAUAAUCUAUUUUAUAAUAUAAAUAGUUGAUAGCUAUAUUAAUAUUUUUUGAUAUAUUAAAAAUAAAUAAUUAAUAAAUUAUAACUUAGUAUUCUUAAAUAUAUCAUUAAAUUUAGUUUAUAUAUCUUUAAAUAAGAAAUUAUUAAUUUUAAUUUUUAAUAUUAAAAUUAUAAAUAGCCAUAUCAAAAAAAUUAAUAAUAUACUAAAAUUUUAUUAAUUAUUUAUUUAAAAAUAUUUUAUAUAUAUUAGUAUAUAUCAUAAUAUUAAUAAAUUUUAGAAGUAAUUUUAAUAAAAUAAUAGUCAUUAACAAAUUUUAGAUAAUUUUUUAUAAAAUAAUUUUUUAUAAAAUAAUUUUUUAUAAAAUAAUUUUUUAUAAAAUAAUUUUUGAAUAAUAAAAUUUAGUUUUAAAAACAAUUAUAAUUUUUACUAUAAUUUAAAAUUAUUUAUAGAUAAUAAUUUUAAAUUUUAUUUUAUAUUUUAUUUAUUUAACAAAAAUUAAACAUUAAAAAUUAAUUAAUUAAAUUAUUUAUAUAUUUUUAUCUAUAUUUUAUAUUAUUAGUAAAUUUAUUUUUAAUUAAAAAUUAGAAUAUUAUUUAAAAAAAUUAUGAUUUUACAUGUUAUUAAUUUAAGAAGUCAUAAAAAAAACAUAUUAUUUAAAAUUUUUAAUGCAUCAAAAAUUAUUUAGAUUAUAUCAUAUCUAUUAAUUAAAGUAAUUAAAAUAUUUUAAAUUACAUACACAUUUCAAAUUAUUAUAUAUAUGUCUAUCUUUUUUAUGUAUAUACACAAGUAUUUUAAUUAAUUACUUUGCUUGUAUCCUAUAAAUAAAUUUUGAGACAUCUUCUUUUCAUCAUUCUUUAUUUUGGAUCAAAUCUUUUUUGUAGUACAAGUUUUAGACUUCUUUCCCUCCUUUCUUGUCUCAAUGUAGAUUCCACUCCUAGUCCAAGUCCAAAACAUCCUUCCUUUCUUUUUUGUUACAGUGCAAGUUCAAGUCUUAGCUCAAGUCUUAGACCUCAUUUCCUUAUUCUUUAUCAUUUGCAAAUUUAAUUAGCAAAAUAAUUGUCAAAGAUAUGAAUCAUAACAAAUAAAACCUCAAUACUUUCUUAUGUCACUAAAAAAGAAUAGGUAUUCACUCAAAAAUUAUUUGAUAUUGAAAUUGGAAUGACUACUGCCAAAGAUAAGAAGACUAAAGAUUCUUGAAACAAGAUUAGUGAUUAGAAAGGUGUUUAUAAGAAUAAAAAAGACUUCAUUCUUUCCUCUAUAUAUAUAAUCUAAGUAAGAGCUAUAUAACAAUAUUCUAUAGGACCUCUAAUAUGUAUUCAAUUUGCAAAAUAUAAGUCUAACUUGUAAGAAAAGCUUCUUUUAUAUAUACCAUAUAAUUAGCUUAUAUCACAAAUUACAGAUACAUGCAAUACAUGGCUAAUUUUUUGGCCAAGUUUUUAACUUAUUAAAUAAUUACAAAUACAUCUAAAGUCAAAUCUUUAUAUAAUUACCAUAAGAUAUUAUUAAAUCUAUUUAUUUUUACUUAUUUCUAUCUAACUCUUUUAUUCUAGGUAAAUAUGUAUGUCCAUGAUAUUACACACCUACCUUUUUUUUUUCUUUUUUUUUCCUAUUCUCCUUCCUCUCUUAUUAUCUAAAAAGAAGUUUUACAAGAAUCAAUAAUCAUAUGUUGAAGAAGUCAAAGAUAUAACAAAUUAUGUUUGUCAUAUAUACUAAACUUUGUUUUAUUUGAAGGUGGUUGAUAGGUCCUCUAAGCUAUUAUUAGUAUCCUAUAUUAAGACAAAAAAAUCACCCUCAUAUUUAAUCAUUGUUGAGGCCUUUAUAACUCUCUUUAAAUAAUCAUUAGAAUUGGUUCCUAUUAAAAGUCUCUUCCAAAGUUGUAAUAUUAAACACAUUAUAUUUCACCAUCUAUUUAAAAAAGAAUAUAUCAUUUUUGAGGGUCUUUAUCUUUAUUAUGUCGUCUUAAAGGUUAUAACAAUUGCAAUGUCUUGUUUGAUAAUUUAGCAAACAAUAGCUCUUGAGUUGAAUCUAUUGGUUAUUGAUACUCUAUUUUUUUAGUACCACAAAUAUAUAAAAAACUACAAAUAAAGAUAGAAGAUAGAAUGCAAUCUAUUUUGAACCUUGUUUCUUUUAUAUCAAAGAUUUGCUAUUCUUUAUUUUGGUUUUGAUUGAUGUCAUUGAUAAAAAAAAAAAAAAAAAAAAAAAAAAAAAAACAUCAAUCUUCUUUAUUGCAUUUGCAAGAUUCUUAGUUGGCUUCCAUGUUUAUUUAUUAAAUUUAUAUUUGUACCAAUAAAUAAAAUAUUUCAACCUAUUUUUAUAAUACCUUAAGUAUAAGACUUCUUCAACUUCAUAUUUAUGAUUAUUCUCUAUUUCUAUCAAAAAAAAAAAGAGAUUGCAUUUUUCUCCUUUUUCAUAUAUCUAUUAUUUUGUAUGGCUUAAAAAGAAAUACAAGUAACAUAAGAUGAAUCUUUAUAGACUCUAGUAGAUAUAAUUAAUAAGCAAUUGGAUUAAUUUUUUUACAAAUAAAAAAUAAUCCAUAUCUAUGAUAAUCUAAAUUAUUAUAAGAGAAAUUAAACUUGAUAUUAUAACAAAUUAACCAUAUUAUAAGUAGACUUUUUUCAAUAGCAAAAGAAUUGUCCAAUCAUUUUAAUGGUAGUUAGUAGUACAUCACAAAUAUUGUUUAAACUAAAAUAAUUUUUUAUUAAUUGAUAGAUUAUUUUAAUUUAUAAUAAUUAAUUAUCUUAUAUUUUAAUUAUAUAUAUAUUUAAUAUUAUAAUUUUUUUAUUAAAAUACUUCUUUAAAUUCUCUAAAUUAAUUCUAUUAAUCACUAAAAUAUUCACAAAUAACCAUACGUGUAAUGUUAAUCAAUUUAAAAAUGCUUAUACAUUGAAGCAAUUUUAUAUUUUUUUCAAUCUAUUACAAAAUUUUAUCUAAAUAUAAAUUUUUAUUUAUAAAUAAAAUUUUAUCUAUAAAUAAGAUCUCAUCUAUAUUCUAAACCCGUCUAAGCCUAAUUAUUAUUAAUCCAUAACUUUAUUUAAGCUUAAUUUUUAUCCAUCUAUAAUUUCAUUUAAUAUUAUUUAUCUUAGCUAAAUUCAUUCAUUCAAUAUAAAUUCUACAUAAUGACACCUCUUAACUUGUCUAACUACUUAAUUAUAGUUCAUACUUUGGAAUAUAAAUUUUUUAAAAGUAUUAGAUGACUAUCUUUUUUGUAAUUAAUUCUACUUUGAAAUUAGUGUUAAUUUAAUUAAUUUAUUUCUAAUAGUGGUAGAAACUCUUAUUAUAGAAUCUCUUUCAAUCAGGAAAUUUUUUGUCAUGGAUACAAAAAUACAGACUCGAGAUCUAACAAGAAGUUCAAGAAGAACUGGCAAGAACUAGAUUAAUCAGAUGAAAACAAUACCAGAGAGGUGAGCUAGAGCUCUAAGAAAUGUGUUGUCAAGAUUGAAGAACUCUUCAGCCUCGAUUCCAAUAUAUACUUCUAUUUAGGAAGCUUCUCAAGCAACUUCUACCAACUAGGAAGCUUCUAGAAGGUUCCAAAGACUUGCUUCUAGAAGGUUUUAGAAACUUAUCUUUAGAAGGUUCUAAGGACUAUGUCUCUAAUAUCUUCUACCAACUAAGAAGCUUCUAGAAGGUUCCAGAGACUUGCUUCUAGAAGGUUCUAGAAACUUGUCUCUAGAAGGUUCUAAAGAUUAUGUUCCUAACAUCACCCCCUCCUUUAGCUUCAAGGUCUUUGAGAAGCAAUAUUGUUGAUCAGUACCAAAGCAAAAAAAUGAAGAUCUGUCGCAUAACGUCUACUAUGAACUCCAACUGUUGUUCAUGAAGCAAGUGGUUCAUCGGCCCUUGAAGCCAACGAUAGUAGUCCACUCCUUCAACUUCUAACCAAGCAUGAACUUCUGUGUCCUCAUUGUGAAAUUGUCCUACAAACAUGCCUUCUGGCUGACCAUCGUAAGCAGGCUCGGACUCAAAUACAAUCACCAGUGAUCGGUUACUCGGUAUCCUCCGUCAUCGUCAUGGUGUAGGCGGUUCUUCAUCUCGGGGUCGCCUUCGUGAGCUAGUCACUUGACAUAAUCUGACUGACAUAGUAUCUAUCUCUUGGCUAUCCAUAUCAGAAGACCAAACUAUGGCUACUGAAAAAAUUCUAUUUUAUCUUGGAGAAAAUAACUACAUCAACUACGAAUUUUGGUGGUGCUCUCCCCCUUUCUUAUAUUCUUGGAUGAGCAAGCUUCAGAAAGAAGCUAUCGUUGAACCGGCUUAGGUUUAUGAGGAUGUUGUUGAUGAAACUCCUGUACCUUUUGUGGUGCAUUGGCGAGAUUUUUAGCUGGCUCCCACGUUCGCUCAUUAAUGUCGUAGCCGCACCAAUGAAUAAGAUACUCCAACUUGCCCCACCUUCGCCAUAAAUCCAAUACCUUUUCAACCUCGUAUUCCUUGUCGUUCUCGAUCUCAAUACUAGAUGGCGGACAUUGUACUCUUCCAAGAAAAGACAACUCUCGAUAAGGCUCUAAUAGAGAAACAUGAAAGACUGGAUGUACCUUCAUAGAAGGCGGUAAUUCCAGACGGUAUGCCACUGGAUUGAUUUGCUUCUGGAUGAUAAAUGGUCUCAAUCUUCGAUAGUCCAACUUAUCACAUGGUCGCUUGGUCUUGAUAUUCCAUUGAAAAAGCCAUGCCUUAUCUCCAAUUUUGAAAGUAGGUGCUUGAUUCUGAAAUCUAUCUGCAGACGCCUUGUAGGAUUCUUGAGCUGAUUGUAAUUAAAGCUUCAACGUAUUUUGAAGCUCUGAUAGUUGUUUCGUAAAUCCUUCAGCUGCUGGAUUGUUAUUUGUUGACGGACUCAAUAAAUCAAGCUUCGUAUGAUACCCAUAGUUGAAAAAGAAUGGUGUGUAUUGAGUAGACGCAUGGAGGGUGUUGUUAUAUGCAAACUCGACUAGCGGCAGAUAUGUGGUCCAAUUGUCUUGUUGAUAGUUGAUGCUACAUCGUAAGUAUUGUUCCAAGAUUUGGUUCACCCGUUCCGUUUGGCCAUCAGUUUGAGGAUGAAAAGCCAAAGAAAGCUUGAUAUCCACCUUCAAUAUCUCAAAGAGAGAUCUCUAAAACUUUGAUACGAACUGGGUUCCUCGAUCUGAUACGAUAUCAUCUGGUAGUCCAUGAUAUCGAUACACAUUAUCGAGAAAGAGCCUUGUUGUGACUUCACUAGACGAUGUCUUCUUAUAAGGAACAAAGUGCACCAUCUUUGUAAGCCGAUCUACCAUGACAAAGAUGCUGUCAAAUGAGUUCGAUGAUGGAAGGUCUGUGAUGAAGUCUAUGGAAACUGAAGACCAUGGUCGACGUGGAAUCGGUAAUGGCUGUAGGAGUCCAUAAGGGCAAUGCCAAAGAUUCUUGGAUCUUGAACAAAUAUCGCAAGAGAGGACAAAAUCUUUCACAUCCUUCCACAUUUGGGGCCACCAAAAAUCUCGAGAAAUAAGCUCCAAGGUCUUGUUGAAUCCAAAAUGUCCCGCAGCUAAAAAAUCGUGGCGAGAUUGAAGAACUCGGAGUCAUGCUGGUACUUUUGGCAUAUACAACCGCUCCUCAAAGUAUAAAAGAUCUCCCUCUACCUUGAAUUUUUCAUCAUUGGCACGUUGCUUGAUAUCAAUGGCUACUGAAUCUUUAAUGGUCGUGGUACGUACCUGAUUCAAGAAGUCAACAUCAAUUGGCACAAUAGUAGCGCAAAGUCGAAAUUACUCUGACUUCAACAACGUCAUAUAUUGUUGAUCAAAUGCUACUUUUCUAGCCUUUGGUACAAGACACGAUCUCCUCGAUAAGGCAUCUGAUAGUCCUUGCUGCUUUCUAGGUUGAUAAGUGAUAACAAAAUUGAACCUAGAUAUCAACAUACUCCACCGAGCUUGAUGUCGAUUUAGAACUUGAGCCGACAUGAAAUACUCCAAAUUCUUAUGAUCUGUGUAUAUGGUCACUAGGUGUGUAGCUCCUUCAAGAAAAUGAUGCCGUUCUUCGAAAGAAUCUACUAUAGCAAGAAGUUCCUUAUCGUGGAUCUCAUAAUUGAUUUCAGCAGCAGAGAACUUUCAAGAAUAGAAUGCAACUGGAUGGAACUUCUUAUCUUCUCCCAUUUGUGAAAGUACAACUCCCAAAGCAAAAUCCGAAGCAUCAGUUUCUAAAUAAAAGACCUUUAUAAAGUCUGGAUGUACCAAGGUUGGAGUCGUAGUAAAUACGAUUUUUAGGUCUUGAAAUGCCUUCUCCGCUAGAGGUUCCCAUUCUAGCUUAUCCUUGCAUGUCAACUAAGUGAGAGGAGCAGCAACUUGAGAGUAAUUCUUGAUGAAGAUCUAAUAGAAGUUGGCAAAGCCAAGAAAGCAUUGUACGUCUCUCACCGUCUUUGGAACCUCCCAAGACAUGAUUGCUUCCACCUUCUUGGGGUCCAUCUUCAAGCCUUCCGUAGUCGCAACAAAUCCUAAAAACUCCAUCUCUAUUUGGUGAAAUAAAUACUUCUCUAACUUGGCAUAUAGUCCUCGCUCGCGUAGUUUCUCCAAGACCAAACGAACGUACUUUUCAUGCUCUUCUUCAUUUUUGGAGAAUAUCAGAAUAUCAUCUAAAUAGAUGACAACAAAAUCGUCAAAGUACUCUCGGAAAAUGUCAUUCAUCAUAUGUUGAAAGAUCGUUGGAGCAUUGGUAAGACCAAAGGGCAUGACAUUAUACUCAAAAUGGCCAUACCUUGUACGAAACGCUGUCUUCCACUCAUCUCCUUUCUUGAUUCGUAUGAGGUUGUAAGCUCUCCUUAGAUCAAUUUUUGUAAAAAUCCUUGCACGUCGAAGUUGUUCUAAGAGACCAAAAAUCAAGGAUAAUGGGUAACGAUUCUUCUUUGUUAUCUUGUUGAGGCCUCGAUAGUCCAUGCACAUCCGCAAUGAGCCAUCUUUCUUCUUCACAAAUAAGAUGGGUGCUCCAGCUGACGAUUUUGAAUGACGGAUGAAGUUCUUGGCUAGAUUCUUGUCGAUGUACUUUCGCAACUCCGCCAACUCUAUCUGCGAUAGAUUGUAGAUUGGGCCAAAAAGCGAUUAUGCUCCUUCUUGUAAGUCUAUGACGCAAUUAUAUGGUCUGUGUUCUGAUAGCAUGUCGAUAUUUUUCUUUUGAAACACAUCUUUAAAAUCCUUAUAUUGCUCCGGUAUACUUGUUGUCGAGAUCAUCUCCUCGAUAGUUGGAGCCGCAUAAAUGACAAACGGUGUGCCUUCCUUAGACGAUCUUAUAAAUGCUCUUACUCCAAUAAAUAAGGAUUUCUCCAUUUGAGGUUUUCUACUAAGCUUGCUCUUGGGUGGUUUUGUGAGAAAGGUAAUCUUCUGCAACUUCCAAUCUAUGCAUGGGUUAUGCUUUUCUAACCAGGAAAGACCAAGAAUAACAAGAUUUGAUAGGGUUCUAAUAAUAUUAAAAAUAAUAUGACUACUAUGGCCCUUAAACGUCGCUUCUAUAGAUUUUAAUUCAUGGGUGACACUACCAGAUAAUAAAGGUCGCCCAUCUAUGACCUCAACGUGAACAGGUUUGGAUUUUUGUACUAAAGGGAUCUUAUGAUGCUUCACAAAUUCUUCGUCUAAGAAACAAGCAGAUGCUCUUGAAUCUAAUAAUGCUAAGGUUUUCAGUUUUUAAGGGCCAAUAAGCAAAGGGAUUGUAAAACAAAGGGCAGGUUGAGCGGAAAGAAAAGAACCUGGUUGUUGUUGCGAUAUUUCACUGUCCAGCCACACAGUUCCUAUUGUGGCUGGACAUCCUCGUUUCUCUGAAUAAAUGCACCCCUAAUCUUGACAAUACAUCGAUUUUGCUUCGUGGGACAGUUUCCAACUUUGUGGCCUGCUUCACCGCAAUACAAGCAUAGACCUUCCUCCAUAUACCACUUUUUUUCUUCUAGAGUAAGGGAUUUGAUACGUACUGCAUCAAUUUGCAUGUCUUCUACCUCUGAAUGUGAAUUUAUGCUACUUGCCGACAUAGUUGGGGCAUGACAAAUCGUAUGUUGUCUUCAAUGUUGGUCUUGGUGGCGUUGGAAUAGGCAGUUAUCGUACUUCACAACUUGGCUAAUAGCUUCAUUGAGCAUUUGUGGAUCAGGAAGAGUUAACAGCAAAUCCUUCACAUCGUCCCUAAAACCCCAAUAGAAUUGACUCAUCAAUGCUUCUUCGUCCCAAUUGAUGUCACAUGCUAAUUGCUUGAAGUCCGAUGCAUAGAUUGAUGUAGAGCGCAUCCCUUGUCGUAGUGACCGGAUCUUUGUUGUAGUCCAUCGAACCUUAUCGUGUUCACCAAAUGCUUCCGCAAACACCUUCAAAAAGGUUUCAAAGUUGUUUAGUAUGGACGAUCGUUUCUCAAACAAAGGAGCAAAUCAUGAUAGAGCUUGUCUUGUAAGUAAGGUUCCAAUAAGUCCAACACGUGACUCCUCCAUUGGAUAGUGUUCGGGCUAUAAAACUGUUAUCAACCUAAUUUGGUUGACGAAUCUUCAAAACUUGGAACGUUGUCGUGUUGUAAUAUGAGUAUACCGUAAAAAUAUAAAGAAAGAGGACUUUUAUUAAUGUUCAGUUACCUCGAAUAUUGGGAGCAACGACCAAUUCCAGUGCAAAUAUUGAGAGGCUAGGUUCAGUCAGCCCGUUACAAUCAGCCCGUUACAGUCAGCCGGGGCAUACUGAAAUGCUCCGUUCGAUUCCAAUAACGGGAGUCAGCAGGAAGGAAAAGGACCAAUUCAACGACUUGUGAGUCUGGUUCGAAGUGCCAAUUGGAUCCAAUUUCAAGACAUCAAAUCCAGAUCCUAUUAUGGGCCUGUUACCCAAUAUGAGACCUGACUUGGUCAGGCAACCCAAUGCGGUCUAAUUAUGGGAACGUCUUGAUCUUACUACGGACCUCUUAUCCAAUAUGAGACCUGAAUUGGUCGGGCGACUCAAUGUGCUCUCGAUUACGGGGGUUUCGAUUUCGUUUCAGGCUGUUCCAUCCUUUGUGCCAUUCCGGGAACGUCCUUUCGGUAAAAAGAUCUCUUAAAGGUAAAAACGGGGGAGAAAGCUUUGAUGGCGGAGCCAAUUCUGGAUCCAAGCUGGAAGAUUGAAGAAAUUCAGAGGCUAGGGUUUGAAAGAGGGGAGAAUUAGGAUUAAAGAGGAGGAUAGGUUAAGAAAUGGAGAGGAGAGAAUAAAGUUUUGGGGGAGAAGGGUCGGAGACUUAGCUUCAUGCUUCGGAGCGGGGAAAAAAGAUAGAGAAUUGGAUUUUUUUUCUUCAUAGGGUUUUGGAAAGACUGAGGCAAUCGUUGCUGAAGUCAGUGUUGUACUAGUGAAUCGAGAUUUUAAUGAAGUGGGUGUGAUUACUCUUGACUGUUUUGUGAAAUCGAAGUUACGUCUAUGAUUGAAGAAUUAAAAGGGUGUCUAUAGGAUUGAGUAUGCGGAGUGAAUGAAAUUUAUUGGGUUAAUCUAACGAGACAGUUAGUGGUUACAAGAUCGUGAGUAUAAAGCGAUAUCGAAGAUUAGUAGUUUGGGUUGUUCGGGGUUCUCUGUAACGUCUAGAGACCUACCGACUGGGGCAAAAAAGAUUUUGGCAAGCAGUCGAAGGACAUCCGUAUAGAUUUACGGUAUAUUUUUACAGUUGUUUAUAUUCCAACAGUCAAAAACCGAUAAACUGCUUGAAUAUUAACGAAUCUUCAUACUACCUUCUACAGCCAGACGCCCGACACGUUCUCGAGCAGAAAAGCACAUAAUACGACAAUGCGUACCAUUGAACUUGUCCGAAAGGCUAACUCGGGGCUUCUUAUGUUGUAGAACCAGUGAUGCUUGUCAAACCUGAGGCAAAGUUGCUUCUCCAAGUACAAAAGUUUGAGGCUGGUGCAACCUAGAUUGUGCCAUCCUAGAUGCUCCAUCAUUAUGAAGCCUUGCCACGACUCCUUCAAUCUUUGUAGUUCUUUGCGAUAACGUAACGAGGGCAUUCAUGAUAGCAUCCAACUUGGACUCCUAACUUUUUGUCAUACUAAUAUCUUGGCCCCCGGCCAUUCUAAGAGAAGGACAGAAAUGACUCUACAAGAAGACAAUAUUGGUUUAGAAGAGGGUACUUUGCAACCUCUAAAAUACCUUAAGAGCUUCAAGAAAAGGGGUAAUCCACUCUCUCCAAGAAGAAUGAGACUCUAAUAUUGUAACAAAAGAAGUAUCAGUUUAGAGGAGGGUAAUCCGCAACAUCUAAAAUGCUAGUACACUUCUAAGUAGAGGGAUAAUCCACACUCUAACAAAGAAGAAACUAGCUCUUAUAUUUGAAGUGAGUGCAGUCUCGAUAAACUAUCACGGACACAAAAAUACAGAUUCGAGAUCUAACAAGAAGUUCAGGAAGAACUGGCAAGAACUAGAUUAAUCAGAUGAAAACAAUACCAGAGAGGUGAGCUAGAGCUCCAAGAGAUGUGUUGUCGAGACUAAAGAACUCUUCAGCCUUGAUUUCAAUAUAUACUUCUAUUUAGGAAGCUUCUCAAGCAACUUCUAUCAACUAGGAAGCUUCUAAAAGGUUCCAGAGACUUGCUUCUAGAAGGUUUUAGAAACUUAUCUCUAGAAGGUUCUAAGCACUAUGUCUCUAAUAUCUUCUACCAACUAAGAAGCUUUUAGAAGGUUCCAGAGACAUGCUUCUAGAAGGUUCUAGAAACUUGUCUCUAAAAGGUUCUAAGGAUUAUGUCCCUAACAUUUUUAGGCAAAGUGAGCAAGUCAUAAUCUAUUGUCACAAAUAUACAUAUUUAUUCCAAUAAUUACCUAUAUAAUUAAGUAGAAGUAAAUAAAAGUAGAUUAAUUUCAUAAUAUCUUCUAAAAAGGCUUUUUAAAAGCUUCAUAGACAUUGCUUUGAUUUUACAUGUGUUUAAAGUUAAUUUAUAGGCUAAUAAUUUAAUCAAUAAAUUAGCCAUGUUUCACACAUGUUAAUAGCUUGUGGAACAAGCUAAUUAUGUGGCCCACAUAUAGAUAACUUAUCUUGUAAAUUAAGUCAUAUGUCAUGCAAAGUCAACAUGUGGUAGAGGUCCUAUAGAAUAUUUCCAUACAACUCUUAAUUAGAGAGUAUAUAUAGAAGUAAGAGUGAAGCCUUCUUUACUCUUGUCAAUGCCUUUCUAGUCCUUACUCUUUUUUCAAGACUUUUUAAUUUUCUUAUCUUUAGCAAUAGCCAUUCUAGUUGAAUACUAUAUCAUCUUUGAGUGAUUUUUUAGUUUAUUUUGAGUAAUACAAGAGUGUAUUGACUUUAUAGUUUUUCAAGGUUUAUGUCCUUGAUAGUUUGACAUGAAUCAUAACUUAUUAUUCUUAUUAUGUUUUAAAAGUGAAUAGAUUAUUCCACUUUUAUUGUUGUGUUUUAAAGAUUGUGGACUACCUACCUUUAAACAAAUAAUUUAAUUUUCUAACACUAAUUUUUUUUCUUUAAAAAAAUGAAUUAUCUUUCUUUAUAGAAGUUUUUAUUUGACAUUAGAGGUUGUGGAUUAUCUUCUUCUAAUAUAACUUUUUAAAUUUUUUGAAUUUUUUAUACAAAGAAAGAUUAUAGAUACUAUACUUGACAAAAGUAUGAAUAGAUUUGCAACAAUUGCAAAUCUCCACAAGCUUGUUAAUAUUCUUAGAAUAAAAAUCUUAGGUAUUUUUAAUUUGAAUCAUAGAAGUACUAUUCCUACACAUAUGGAAGAAAUCUAUAAUCUUAUGAGUAUAAAUUUCACUCCUCAAUCCCAAUUACAAGAUGGCAUCAAUUAAGAGUUGCUUGUCAUUGGUGGUAUAAAGUGAAGUAAGGAAUUGGCAAAAGACCAGAGAGGAACAACCACAAUACAUGUGAAAGAAAUGAAAUCAAGUAAUCACAACACCCAAAACUAAGUCACUGUCUAUUCUCUGGAUUUUCAUCCAAAAAAAAGUAAAAGUAAAAAAUAAAAAAUAUAGUUUUAGAUAGAUAGUUUUUUUAUCUUUCCAAUAACAUAAAAAUCAUGUAAUUUUAAGUUACUAUGAAUAAGUUAUGAUAGAUUAAAGAUAGAAUGUAAAUAAUAAAAAAGUUAAGUGAAUAAUUUUUACCUCAAGGAUAACUUGCUUAAGAAAUUAGGAGUUCGAGCCUCAUCAAGGCUCACAAGUAGUAUAUAUUGGUUGUCUAAAGAAGCCUUGAGGCCUUAGUCUUAUCUUCCUACCUGUACCCAAGGUGCUACAACCCACAUGGGAAUUGUGCACCUCUCUUCCUACAAGGAUUAUACUAGUUGCUAGUCCUCCUAUUUUCUACUAAUAAAAUUUAUUUUUUUUAUAUUUUUGACUUCACCAUCGUGUUCAAAAACACCUAAUCAGCCUAAAAACCAUGUUUAGUCUUCAAGUCUUACUUCAUUUCUUUGUAAUAGAUCUCAAGGUGGUAAAACUCAAUUUUACCAAGGUCUUGAAAUUUUCUUUAAAAAUUCAUAAAAAGUCCUAAAUAAAUUCUAAAAAAUCACAUAAUAUUUCUAUAAUACUAAUAUUCAUACAAAUCUGUAUUUUUCUAUCUUGGUGAUUUUUUAUAGUAAUAAAAUCAAUUUAAACCCACUAAAAAUCCUAUUUUUUAUAUAAUUAACUAAAAAGACAUGAAGUUCUUUUUCAUGCUUCUUCGAACCACUAACUAAUCAUUGAUAGGUUUUUAUAAAGAAUACAUGUAGAUAGAAAGCCAAUGAAGACAAUGGUCUGAAUAAUUAACUCUUAAUACUUAACAAAAAAAAAAAAUACUAAACUAACUAAGAUAAUUGCCUCCAAGACUUACUAAGAUUCUAUUUUUAUAACUUUCCUUCUAAUAAGACAUUUGCAACUUAUAAAUACUUCUAAAUUAUAAUAAAUACUUGAAAAGUCAAAAAUACUUUUUAAUCUUAAUAUUUUUAUAAUUAAAUGACUUAAAACUAUAUUUUUAAUUAAUCCACCAAUUACAAUCAAUUUAAAGGACUCACAUAUGGUGACUAUCUAGGACUAUUUGUAAGAAUACAAAGAAUCUAGCUCUUACAUUUGACAUGGUCUAUAUAAAAAUAAAAUAAAAAUAAAAAUAAAAUAAAAUAAUAAUAAUAGUAUAAAUAAAUAAAUAAAUAAAAUAAGCUAAAAUAAAAUAAAGUAAAUAGAAAUUUAUCAAAAAAAGAUACUAUCAUUUAUUAGAAGAAGUAGAAUAUAAGUAGAAUUACUAAAAUAUUGACCUAGAGACAAAAAAAUAAUUGUUUGGUUUAGACUCAAUAUGUUUCUACGUUUAGCAAAUUCUAGCUCAAUCAUUGUUUUAAGUUUUGAUAGUACUAUAUUUUUAUUGAGAUUUGAACUAAGACUACAUGAUUAUAAUUCAUAACGACAAAAUUGAGUUCUAUAGACUACAUGGAAGAUGUCUAUGACUCAAGAAAAAAUACUUAACUAUACUUGCCACUUAUGCCUUGAGUCUAGCAUUAAAGUAUAGUAAGGGAUAAUAAUCUUUAGGUUUGACUUAGAACUACUAUUAAAAAAAAAAAAAAAAAAAAAAACAAUGUAUAUUGGUAUUGAAACUAAUGUCUACACUCUAUAUUCUUUACAAUGACUUCUAUUAGUUUAUGUAAGAAAAUCUUUUCUAUCUAAUGUUUUAAGUUGAAUUGAAUUAUUAUCAAAGACUUCUUUGAUAAUAUAAGGCUCGGUCCAAAGUGCAUCAAAUUUGGCUGAAAAUUCUAGUUUCCUAGUAUUUUGAACCAUCAUCCAUAUUCCUAGAGUAAGAAGAUGUUUUUUUUUUUAUCUUUUUAUCAAAGAUCUCUUUUCUUCUCUUCUGAAUUAUUUCUAUGUAUUGAAUUGCAAAUCUUUGAAUCUCACUAGGUCUUUUUAGAUACUCUAAUUUUUCUUUCAAAAAUUAAGAAGUAUCCAAUCUUUCAUCAAUGGCAAUGCAUAAGAAUGGGACUUCAAAUUCUAUUGGUAAAAUGGCUUCUAUUCCAUAUAUCAAAGAAAAAAGGCAUAGCUCUUGUAGAAACCUUGUAAGUAGUUUGGUAAGUCCAAAGUGCUGAAGUAAGUUUAAGAUUCCAAUCAUGCUUAGAAUCCAUUACAAAUUUUUGUAAUAUUCGAACUAACAUUUGGUUGAUCCUUUUUAUAAGACCAUUUAUUUGAAGAUGAUAGGGAGUAGUUUUCCUAUGAUUGAUGGUAAAAAAUGUAGUCAUUUCUUUAAUAGCUUCAUUUAAAAAAUGAAUACUAUUGCCACUCACAAGGAUUUUUGGACAACCAAAAAAAGCUAUGAUAUUUUCAUAUAGGAAUAUGGCAAUUUAUUUGGCAUCCAUCUUCUUUAUAGCUUUUACUUCAGCCUAUUUGAUCAAAUAUUUUGUGGCUACAAUGAUAUAUUGCAUUUGACAUGAAGAUACAAGAUAAAUUGGUCCAAUAUAAUCUAUACACCAUUUUUCAAAUGAAAAAAGUGAGAGUGAGAUUUAAAGGCAUUGUAAGAUUUAAAUCAUUGCAUGCAUAUCUUUGGUAAGCAUCACAAGAUCUUACAUAAGAUUCUAAAUCAGUAAAUAUUAUAGAUCAAAAAUAGCUUACUUUAAAGAUUUUUUGAAUUGUUAUUUGACUAGAGAAGUGUCCACUAUAAGCACUUGAAUGACAAGCUUUUAUUACAAGUGGUACUUCUUUAUAAGUAAGACCACAACUUAAAAUCCCAUCAAUUCUUUAAUGAUAUAAUUUCUUGGCUAUAAGAGCAAAAUAGAUACUAUUUACUUUAAUCUUUUGUCAUUCAUUUUUAGAUAGAAUAUUAUUAACAUAAGGCAAUUGAUUCCUCUUUGUUCUAAAACACACUUUACCUUUAUGCUAAUUCUUCUUAAAUUAAAUGAAAGCUUUUUGAAAAGUUGACAAAAAGAAGAACCACUUUUUAAUAUCUUCAAGUAAAAUACUAAAAAUACUAUGGAAAAAACUACCAAAAAAAACCUUGAAGAAGAUCUUGAAGGGUGGCUAGCUCUCUUUUUAUUCUAAAAUACACCCUAAUUUUAUACUAACUCUUCUUGGAACAAGUGAGAUUUUUGAAAAAUAAAUAAAAUAAAGAAUUACUACUCAAAAUCUCUAAAAAAAAUAUUUUAAAUUCCAUAUAAAAACCACCAAAAAAUAGUUAGAUAUAUUCAAGGGGAGAAAGCCCAAACAAAGAAGAAGUAGUGAGAGAUUCAAAAGUCAAUAUAAGCCCAUGUCACUCCACCUCAAUCUAUGUUUUUUUACUUAAGCACCGUACUACUUCAUCUCAAGUCCAUACCAACCUAUCUUGACUUAUCUUUGGAGAUAAACUAUCAAUAUCUAUAACUUUUUUUUUUUUUUUUUUUUUUUUUUUACUAUUUCUUUAUUUCAUACCAAAUUCUUAUAAUAUAUUACCUUAUUUUUACAUAUUAUACCACUUUCCAAUACAACACCAUAUACAAUUAUAUUUGAACCAUAUAUAGUAGAAUUUUGAAGAUUUUGGAUUUUUUCUAGAUAUUCUUAAGAUGCUACAAUUGAUGCCAAUUUGAUGCCUUUCAAAAAACCUUCAAAUGUUGGAUUUUUCUACUAGAAUUUCUAUCCAUAACUAUGUUUUAUCUAUUAAUUCUAUUUUGCUUAUAUUUAACAUCCUCUAGAUUCAUCUUCUAUAAAAAAUUGCCACUUAAUAUUCCUAUUGUAUUCAUUUAUUCUAAAACAAAUUGUCAAUUGAUUUGAUAACUCACAUCUACUAUGAAAAAAAUUUGCUAAGGUUAUAUGAUUCAAAUUGCUAACGAUACAAAACUCUAGAUUCUUGGAAGAGGCAAUAUCAACAUCAACAAGGUAUUCUUUGAUACAAAUAGCUAACAAUACAAAGCUCUAGAUUCUUGUGAGAGGCGACAUUAACACCAACAAGGUAUUCUUCGUGAUGUAUUACAUGUCCCACAACUGAAGAGGAAUUUUAUUUUUUGUUGGCCUAGUCUUUGAACAAAACCUGUCGUUCAUAAUAUACCCGGGCAGUUGUGACUUUCGAAUACACCAUGGCAAGAAAGUCCUCAAAAGCACUAGCUCAAGAAAACUUUAUCAGCUUUCAUUCAAAUAAUACCUCCUCAGUUUUCACUUUAAACUCCCCUUCUGUCUUCCUGACCUUUAUUGACAAAAUCAUUCGAUUGACUAUUGAGAGCAACAACUUUUUCGUCAUUAGCAACUUCGCUUGCCCUUUCAACUUCAAGUACAAUUUUUGGAAUACAACUAUGGCAUGAAAGAAUGGAUCAUAUUAACGUACCCACCAUUCACUGCUGCUAAAGGAUAUAUGCAUAUGAUCCUCACCACGACUAGUGGUCGUCUACUUCUUGGUGAGGUAGAAGUUCCACUUGUUCACGUAAAUCGGAGGCACGGUGGUGGAGUUCUCGGGCUGGGCCAGUCCGUAGCCAGAGUAUCCUCGGAACUUUCCAGUGCCGCCGAUGACCACCAAUUCCCAGGGAGUUGGGCCGUAAGACAGGGUGCCCACCACUGUGAAGCUCGAGCCGGGGUAUUUGGAUCCAUCGCCGAACCAGAACUUGCUAGUGACCUGCACGCCUCCCGUUGCCGAUCCUCCG
rnacentral:lncRNA from 1 species